rnacentral:rRNA from 1 species
AGUGAACGCUGGCGGCGUGCUUAACACAUGCAAGUCGAACGAGAACGGGUUAUAGCUUGCUAUAAUUGUCAGCUAAGUGGCGCACGGGUGAGUAAUGUAUAGGUAAUAUGCCUCUUACUAAGGGAUAACAAAUGGAAACGUUUGCUAAUACCUUAUACUCCUUAUUAACAGAAGUUAAUAAGGGAAAGAUUUAUUGGUAAGGGAUUAGCCUGUAUUGUAUCAGUUAGUUGGUGGGGUAAUGGCUUACCAAGACUAUGACACAUAACUGGUUUGAGAGGAUGAUCAGUCACACUGGAACUGAGACACGGUCCAGACUCCUACGGGAGGCAGCAGUGGGGAAUAUUGCACAAUGGACGAAAGUCUGAUGCAGCAACGCCGCGUGGAGGAUGACACAUUUCGGUGCGUAAACUCCUUUUAUAUGAGAAGAUAAUGACGGUAUUAUAAGAAUAAGCACCGGCUAACUCCGUGCCAGCAGCCGCGGUAAAAC